rnacentral:rRNA from 1 species
UCUUGGUCAUUUAGAGGAAGUAAAAGUCGUAACAAGGUUUCCGUAGGUGAACCUGCGGAAGGAUCAUUAACGAGUUUUGAAAUGGGUUGUAGCUGGCCUUUCACAAGGCAUGUGCACGCCCUGCUCAUCCACUCUCAACCCCUGUGCACUUAUUGUAGGUCGGUGGAAGAUAGAAGUGUCUCUGACGCUUUUAUUGGAAGCCUUCCUAUGUUUUACUACAAACGCUUCAGUUUUAGAAUGUAUCUCUGCGUAUAACGCAUCUAUAUACAACUUUCAGCAACGGAUCUCUUGGCUCUCGCAUCGAUGAAGAACGCAGCGAAAUGCGAUAAGUAAUGUGAAUUGCAGAAUUCAGUGAAUCAUCGAAUCUUUGAACGCACCUUGCGCUCCUUGGUAUUCCGAGGAGCACGCCUGUUUGAGUGUCAUGGUAUUCUCAACCUUCAUAACUUUUUUGUUAUCGAAGGCUUGGAUUUGGAGGUUGUGCUGGCUCUAGUUAGUCGGCUCCUCUUAAAUGUAUUAGCGUGAACGUUUACGGAUCGCUAUCAGUGUGAUAAUUAUCUGCGCUGUUAGUGUUGAAGUAUUGUUAGUGUCAUGCUUCUAACUGUCCUUCACUGGACAAUUUACUUGACAUCUGGCCUCAAAUCAGGCGGGACUACCCGCUGAACUUAAGCAUAUCAAUAAGCGGAGGAAAAGAAACUAACAAGGAUUCCCCUAGUAACUGCGAGUGAAGCGGGAAAAGCUCAAAUUUAAAAUCUGGCAGUCUUUGGCUGUCCGAGUUGUAGUCUGGAGAAGCGUUUUCCGCGCUGGACCGUGUACAAGUCUCCUGGAACGGAGCGUCAUAGAGGGUGAGAAUCCCGUCUUUGACACGGACUACCAGUGCUUUGUGAUGCGCUCUCAAAGAGUCGAGUUGUUUGGGAAUGCAGCUCAAAAUGGGUGGUAAACUCCAUCUAAAGCUAAAUAUUGGCGAGAGACCGAUAGCGAACAAGUACCGUGAGGGAAAGAUGAAAAGCACUUUGGAAAGAGAGUUAAACAGUACGUGAAAUUGCUGAAAGGGAAACGCUUGAAGUCAGUCGCGUUUGCUAGAACUCAGCCUGGCCUCGGCUUGGUGCAUUUUCUAGUGAACGGGCCAGCAUCACUUUUGGUUGCGGGAUAAAGGUCGCAGGAAUGUGGCACCUUCGGGUGUGUUAUAGCCUGUGAUUGUAUACCGUGGCUGGGAGUGAGGAACUCAGCACGCUCACGC